GGGGGGGGAUCAGCCUGCCGGUGUACCGUUGUGCACGAGGCUCCACGUCCCUGGAGUCGUUCCACCUGCAUCUCAACCGCUUUAUCCCAGGAGAAAGUGCCAAUCCAUGGCACUUUCAGGCAUUUCUCCUGGAGGGGUUGACGCGGUGGAACGAGGACAGGGCGGCGUCCGCGGCACAGGAGGGACGUCCGCUGCUCCGCUCCUACAGUGGCCCCCUGCAGCACUCCCUUGACCAGCUCAGCCAAAGGGUGCUUGGCACGAGUGUGGUCAAGGAUUACACCAAGCCCAGGGAGUACACCGGGGAGCUCAUCGGGAUUGAGUACCUGUACUCCCAGACGGGCAGAGUGCUGCAGGACGUCAGCUUGGACCCUGACACUCCGGACGCGGGGG